UACGAAGGGGGCUAGCGUUGUUCGGAUUUACUGGGCGUAAAGCGCACGUAGGCGGAUCGUUAAGUGAGGGGUGAAAUCCCAGGGCUCAACCCUGGAACUGCCUUUCAUACUGGCGAUCUCGAGUCCGGAAGAGGUGAGUGGAACUCCUAGUGUAGAGGUGGAAUUCGUAGAUAUUAGGAAGAACACCAGUGGCGAAGGCGGCUCACUGGUCCGGUACUGACGCUGAGGUGCGAAAGCGUGGGGAGCAAACAGG
rnacentral:rRNA from 1 species